rnacentral:rRNA from 1 species
AGUGAACGCUGGCGGUAGGCCUAACACAUGCAAGUCGAACGGCAGCACAGUAAGAGCUUGCUCUUACGGGUGGCGAGUGGCGGACGGGUGAGGAAUACAUCGGAAUCUACUUUUUCGUGGGGGAUAACGUAGGGAAACUUACGCUAAUACCGCAUACGACCUACGGGUGAAAGCAGGGGAUCUUCGGACCUUGCGCGAUUGAAUGAGCCGAUGUCGGAUUAGCUAGUUAGCGGGGUAAAGGCCCACCAAGGCGACGAUCCGUAGCUGGUCUGAGAGGAUGAACAGCCACACUGGAACUGAGACACGGUCCAGACUCCUACGGGAGGCAGCAGUGGGGAAUAUUGGACAAUGGGCGCAAGCCUGAUCCAGCCAUACCGCGUGGGUGAAGAAGGCCUUCGGGUUGUAAAGCCCUUUUGUUGGGAAAGAAAAGCAGCAGGUUAAUACCCCGCUGUUCUGACGGUACCCAAAGAAUAAGCACCGGCUAACUUCGUG